rnacentral:rRNA from 6 species
UAAAGAAAGCGUAAUAGCUCACUGGUCGAGUCGGCCUGCGCGGAAGAUGUAACGGGGCUAAACCAUGCACCGAAGCUGCGGCAGCGACACUGUGUGUUGUUGGGUAGGGGAGCGUUCUGUAAGCCUGCGAAGGUGGCCUGUGAGGGUUGCUGGAGGUAUCAGAAGUGCGAAUGCUGACAUAAGUAACGAUAAAGCGGGUGAAAAGCCCGCUCGCCGGAAGACCAA